GUCUCCUUCCUUUGAUAACGGACCCAACGUUCUGGGGGCUCGUCCGCGAUCAAAUGACGAGAACUGAGUCAGCAUCAGAAUUUCUGGGAAAAGCCUCUAGAGGAUUUUCAAGGUAAAACCACCCAGUUGGAUGACAAGGCUUACCCAGGAAAACUCUCUAAAACUGGGAAUCCUUUCUCUGCCUUCUGGCAGCACUCCCCCUUCUGUUUCUGCACCAGCUUGGAUGCGGCCUGCAUAAUUGGCCUCUAGACCGUCCUCAGUGCUUCCUGCACCACGGCUCCUUUUCUCUUCACUGUCAAGGAGCAAAAGAACAGCCCCUGGACCUAACACCUCGCACUCCAGAUCUUCCCACCCGUGUCUCAGGCUCCACACCCAGCAUGGAGUUCAACAUGAGGUUUGAACCAAUGACCCUGAGAUUAAGACCGGAGCCAAGAUCUAGUUGAACAUUCAACCAACUGAGCCACCCAGGCGCCCUGACUAGUGAACAUUCUGUUGGGUAAAUACAAGAUCAUACAACAUGUGAAGUAUGCUUUGCUUAUGAAGGACUCCCCCGCCUCCAAAAAAAAAAUCAAGAAGAACCAUCUAUCUCAACUGAGGAAAUAAGUGUCCUAGGCUCAUUCCCAGAGCACCUUAUUUUGGGAUGUGGGUAGAGCUAAAGGUCUUUGCCGGCCUUCCAAGUCUUUUUUCAAUCCUUUUAUGAAACGUUACCAUCCCAAGCUUCUCUGAAAAUGAUUAUUGUGAAAUCUUGUAUUUAAAGAUGUUAUAGCAAAAAGCCAGGAUAAUCGAUCUUUAUAAAGAAGGGUCGCAUUCUCUUGAAAAAAGUCAGUGAAUCCCUCCCAUUGUGUAUCCCCUUACUCCAUCUGUAUAGGAUUUUACAAAAUAUUAUCAUCUAGAUUUUGGAAUAUAUUAACAUUUUUUGAGUGCCCAUUAGAGGUCAGGCACUUCUUAACAUUAUCUUAUUUAAUCCUCACAAUGUCUCUGUGAGACUGAUAUUAUCUCCUAGAUUAGGAAACUAGGAUGCUUAAAGGUUAAGUAACUUCCCCAAAGUCACACAACUAUGAAGUGUUUAUCCUGGAAUUGGAAGCAUCAUUUUGUUGGAUUCCAACAUGCUCCUUACACUAUAUCAACCUGCCCCCCCUUAAGUUCAUCCUUACAACAAGCAUGUAAAGGAAAGUAAGAAAAUUAUUUCCCCCCCUACUUGAAUGAAAACAGUAAAGCCCAGAACUCAGAUCUUCUGUCUCAAAUCACUGUACUUUUACUUCGCUGGUUAAAGGUUAAUGGUCAGAACAUUUACAAGGGGGACCCCUGGGGGGCUUAGUCAGUUAAGCUCUGUCUUUGGCUUGGGUCAGGAUCCCGGGGUCCUAGCCUGCUUGUGUGCGCUCU